rnacentral:lncRNA from 1 species
UACUUUAAAAAAAUAUGAUAAAAAAAUCUUAUUAUUAUUAAUAUAUAAUUAAAUACAGGCAACAAAUUUUGAUGAAUUAUUAACCUAUAGAGUUUAUACCAAUAUUGUCUACUUUAUUGUUACGCUUACAGACAUUCACAAUAAAAAUUAACACAAUGUCUACGUAGAGGAGGGUAACACAAAUUUUUUGGACAAUGACGCCAAUGUUUGCAAGGAAAAAUACCUGAUAUGUAAAAUAAGAACAAACGAAAUGUUACUAAACGAUGACGUAAAUGUGUGUAUAAGAUAAUUAAGAAUAUUUGAAAUAGCAGUAAAAAUGACUUGCCUUCACUGAUUACAACAACAAAAAGAGAAAGAAAGAUUAUCAAACCAUAAACAAUUUUGGGAAUUUGAGUCAUAUCUUUCUAUUUUCUCAGGAAAGAACAUAGAAAUAUGUUGAGCAUUUUUAAGUUUCAUACUUUGUUUAAAUAUGUGUUUUUUAACGCUUAGAAGUUGCAAGAAGCGACUUAUAAAAA